rnacentral:rRNA from 1 species
UCAAGCUACUAAGUGCAAAUGGUGAAUGCCUAGGAGCCGGGAGGCGAAGAAGGACGUGGUAAGCUGCGAAAAGCUGCGGGUAACUGCAAACGAGUACCGAUCCGCAGAUUUCCGAAUGGAGCAAUCCGGCAGUAGUAAUGUGCUGUCAUUUCCGGAUGAAUGGAUAGUCCGGAGAAGCAAGACGGGGUGAAGUGAAACAUCUCAGUAACCCCAGGAAAAGAAAAUGACAAUGAUUCCGUAAGUAGUGGCGAGCGAAAGCGGAAGAGCCCAAACCGGGGGGAUUUAUCCUUCCGGGGUAGCGGGACCACCAACAAAUCCAGACCGAAGGCGAGCUGAACGUUUUGGAAAGAACGGCCACAGAGUGUGAAAGCCACGUAAGCGAAGUUGGAAGUCGGCCGGUGGGAUCCCAAGUAAUGCGGUGUAAGUGGAACUCUGCAUGAAUCUGUCCCGACCAUGGGAUAAGGCUAAAUACUACCCGGCUACCGAUAGUGAACAAGUACCGUGAGGGAAAGGUGAAAAGAACCCCUUCUAGGGGAGUGAAAAGAAUCUGCAACCAUUUGCAUACAAAGUGUGGGAGCGCCAAAGAGGGCGUGACCGCCUGCCUUUUGCAUAAUGAGUCUGCGAGUUAUUAUCAGUAGCAAGCUUAAGGGAUGAGAAUUCCGGAGGCGAAGCGAAAGCGAGUGUGAAAAGCGCGAGGAAGUUGCUGGUGAUAGACCCGAAGCGGAGGUGAUCUACACUUGAGCAGGUUGAAGCUGUGGUAACACACAGUGGAGGACCGAACUGGUGAACGUUGAAAAGUUCUGAGAUGACUUGAGUGUAGGAGCGAAAGACUAAUCAAACCCCGUAAUAGCUGGUUCUCUCCGAAAUCGCUUGAGGGCGAGUGUUGAAUAAGUACUCCAUGGAGGUAGAGCACUGGAUGGCUUAGGGGCCUUACCGGGCUGCCAAAACCAAUCAAACUCCGAAUACCAUGGACCCCAUUAAUUCAGCAGUCAGGCAGUGGGGGAUAAGCUUCAUUGCCGAGAGGAAAACAGUCCAGACCGUCAGCUAAGGUGCCCCAACAAGGUUAAGUGGAAAGGAUGUGACGUCGCGAAGACAGUGAGGAUGUUGGCUUAGAGGCAGCCAUCAUUUAAACAGUGCGUAACAGCUGACUCAUCGAGCGAUGCCGCGCCGAAAAUGAUUGGCGAUAAAACCUUGUACCGAAGCUACGGAUUCUCAAAGACUAAGGUUUUUGGGAGUGGUAGGAGAGCGUAGUUGCAGCGCUGAAGCCGAAGGGAGACCUGAGGUGGAGCGGCAACUAGUGAGAAUGCAGACACGAGUAGCGAUAAAUCAGAUGAGAAUUCUGAUCGCCGAAAACCUAAGGUUUCCUGGGGCAGGUUCGUCCUCCCAGGCUUAGCCGGGAGCUAAGGCCAGGCCGUAAGGCGUAGCCGAUGCACAGAAGGUCAAUAAUCCUUCGCCGGGCCGGGGUUAGGUUAAGAUGACGCAAGCACGGGAAAACGGGUUAAGUGAGCGGAUUCACAGCGCGGAAUAAUAGCCGCGCGUUCCCGCGGACCCCUUGCCGAGAAAAGUCUUAACUGUGCUCCCCGGUUCGCCCGUACCGUAAACCGACACAGGUGGGUGAGAUGAGUAUUCUAAGGCGCGCGAGAGAAACCUCUCUAAGGAACUAGGCAAAAUAGCCCCGUAACUUCGGGAAAAGGGGUGCCCACCGCAAGGUGGGCCACAGUAAAUGGAGCUUUGCGACUGUUUAACAAAAGCAUAGCGCUCUGCCAAGUUGAUAAAACAACGUAUAGGGCGUGACACGUGACCAAUGCGAAAAGAUGAAGGCAACUUGUUAGGUGGUUUAGUAAUAGACUGCCGAAGCUCGGACCCCAAGUCCUCGUGAAUGUCGGCCGUAACUAUAACGGUCCUAAGGUAGCGAAAUUCCUUGUCGG